UACGGAGGAUCCAAGCGUUAUCCGGAUUUAUUGGGUUUAAAGGGUGCGUAGGCGGCUUUUUAAGUACAGGGGUGAAAGACGGUGGCUCAACCCAUCGCAGUGCCUUUGAUACUGAAUGAGCUAGAUUAAACUUGAGGUAGGCGGAAUGUGACAAGUAGCGGUGAAAUGCAUAGAUAUGUCACAGAACACCGAUUGCGAAGGCAGCUUACUAAGGUUUCAAUGACGCUGAGGCACGAAAAGCGUGGGGAUCAAACAGG
rnacentral:rRNA from 1 species